GAUGAACGCUAGCGGCAGGCCUAACACAUGCAAGUCGAGGGGCAGCACAGAAACAGCAAUGUUUUGGUGGCGACCGGCGGACGGGUGCGCAACGCGUAUGCAACCUACCUUUAACAGGGGGAUAACGGAGAGAAAUUUCCACUAAUACCCCAUAACAUCGAUCAAGGCAUCUUGAUUGGUUGAAAACUCCGGUGGUUAAAGAUGGGCAUGCGUUGUAUUAGGUAGUUGGUGAGGUAAUGGCUCACCAAGCCUACGAUACAUAGGGGGACUGAGAAGUUAGCCCCCCACACUGGUACUGAGACACGGACCAGACUCCUACGGGAGGCAGCAGUGAGGAAUAUUGGUCAAUGGGGGCAACCCUGAACCAGCCAUGCCGCGUGCAGGAAGACGGCUCUAUGAGUUGUAAACUGCUUUUAAACAGGGAUAAAGCACAGUAUGUAUACUGUGUUGAAGGUACUGUAAGAAUAAGGAUCGGCUAACUCCGUGCCAGCCGCCGCAGUAA
rnacentral:rRNA from 1 species